GAGGCCCAACGUCUUCGUCUCGAGCCGACAUCUCCAGAGGAGACUCGCCGAGCUUCGUCAAUUCUUCACCGAGGUCGCGACAUCGAAGAAGCGCUCAAACUUGCAGUCGAUCCCCCUUCGAAAUCGUCGAGAGAAUCUCUGAAGAGGUUUGAAGCUGGUGGCUGCUGCAAUGUCCCGAGUGUACGUCGGGAAUUUGGACCCGCGGGUGUCGGAGAGGGAUCUUGAGGACGAAUUCCGUACUUUCGGUGUUCUUAGAAGUGUCUGGGUUGCUCGGAGGCCGCCGGGUUAUGCAUUUAUCGAGUUUGAUGAUCGAAGAGAUGCUCUAGAUGCUAUUCGUUCAUUGGAUGGAAAGAAUGGUUGGCGUGUGGAAGUCUCUCACAACAAGGGUGGUGGAGGCCGUGGCGGUGGGCGUGGUGGACGUGGCUUUGGCGGAGGUGAGGACUCCAAGUGUUAUGAGUGUGGGGAGCCAGGUCAUUUUGCCAGAGAGUGUCGCUCGCGCAUUGGUUCAAGAGGCUUGGGAAGUGGACGGCAUAGGAGCCCCAGUCCUAGGCGGCGUAGGAGCCCCAGUUAUGGGAGAAGGAGCUACAGCCCCCGGGAUAGAUCUCUGCGCCGCCGCAGCAUCACGCCUCCUCGACGUGACCGCAGCAUCACACCUCCUCGACGUGACCGCAGCUAUAGCCGUUCCCCUCCGCAGCGCCGUGCUUCUCGUGAUUCCCCUUAUGCCAAUGGGGAUUAAGGCUGCAUCUUGGUAGAAGCGCAUGGCUUAUAUUAAAUGGAGUUGCUAAUUGCUGAACCUUCGGCUAUGUAGCCUGGUUUGAGGAUUGAGUUACGUAUGUUGGUGUCCUGACAGUGAAGUAGUUAGGAACUUGGAUUGGCAUGGCUUCUACAAGUAUUUUAGCAAUGGGUGCAUAGAUGCCACAUGUAAUUGGCUCGGUCUCUUCAGCUACAGAAACUUUGAAGGUUUUCGAUUAUCGGCUCAAACGGCACGAUUUCGCUACUCAUUUCGUCACUGCUCAUGGUUUUUCCCCAUCUGGUUAUCUGCUCGUCUACAUCUGCUCCUCUUCGCUUCUGCUGUUAUUGAGCUCAAAACAUUUUGUAUCUGCAAAGUGAGGAAUCUUCACAGCCAAUGACUUUUGCGCUCACUCCGGCAAAACAAAGCUUGUGAUCUAGUUUAUGCGCACACGUGUCGGCUUAGCUCAUUUGAGAGGAUGAAGCUGGUCUUUGGCUUCCUCUGUCUUUGCUUCUAAUCACAGCACACGCAUCUUCUUGUUGUUUGUGCACCUUGGCUUGAGAACUUGGUGUGAAAUUGGAUUUGAAAGCUCUCCUCAGUUACUGGAGCUGUUAAUCUCAUUAUCAAUAGCUCGGAUGGUGCCAAGUGCAAUAUGCACACGAGGUCAGUCCUGAUGCCAUGACUUAUAUGAAAACCUGCUGAGAUUUCCAAUCCAUGAGUCAUCUCUUUGUUAAUCGUCUCAAGAGUUAGAAUUGUCUGGAUUACACUGGGUCUGGUACUUGGUGAGAGCUUCUUCAUUGCAGAGAAAUAGGUUGGUUCCUUAACAGGGGUUGCCUUCCAUUAAAGGUGCUCAGCACUAUAUUUUGGCUGGGAAGAAGCAUAUCAAUGAUCACAGAUCUGCUGUACUUGUAAGGUUAGAGACCGACAUGUCCUACAUGGAUGCACCGGUUGUUGAAGAUGUUCAUGUUGUUAAGGAUUAUUCUGUGUAGCAGAACCUUUAAAAUGCCAAUCUUGAUCCAUAAGGAUGUGUUGCUCCA